UACGGGGGGAGCAAGCGUUGUUCGGAUUUACUGGGCGUAAAGAGCGCGCAGGCGGUCGUUCAAGUCGCGUGUGAAAGCCCCCGGCUCAACUGGGGAGGGUCACGCGAUACUGAUCGACUCGAAGGCAGGAGAGGGUAGUGGAAUUCCCGGUGUAGUGGUGAAAUGCGUAGAUAUCGGGAGGAACACCGGUGGCGAAGGCGGCUCACUGGGCCGGUCCUGACGCUCAGGCGCGAAAGCGUGGGGAGCGAUCCGG
rnacentral:rRNA from 1 species